rnacentral:tRNA from 1 species
GGUCAGUUAGCUCAGCGGUAGAGCACUACCUUGACAUGGUAGGGGUCACAAGUUCGAUCCUUGUACUGACCACCA